UGUGAAGAGUUCAGUUUCUAUGUUUAUUAUCUAGCUAAUAUCUGAUGGUGAAACGCUGUGCGUGGGGUACCUGUAAUUCGGACACCAGGUACCCUAAAAGACUGGAUGGAGGAGUAUAUUUCGUACCUUUUCCGAAGCCCAAAAGAAAACUCAACAAAUGCAAGCGGUGGAUUAUGCUGUGUCGUCGACCACAUAGCACAUACACAACUGAAUGUGAAGACAAUUACCAAGGACACUUAUUAUUGCUCAAAGCACUUCAGAGAUGGGAAGCCAACUCUGGAAUAUCCAGAUCCCAUCCGGGCUCUCGUGUGUGCUGCUCCGAAAAGACACAGACCCUCAACCA